UUGAAAAAAAAAAAAAAACAAAAAGUAAGGGUCGCACUCUACUUGUUUGUAAAACUUUUUGAAUGUUCACAUUUUAUAGUUUAUUAGCGGCUAUUUAACUUAACUUAUUAUAAAAAAGCUUAUCAGCGGUUGUUUCUUUUUAUAAUUAAUUUCUAUGGGAGUCAUGCUCGAUAGUCCAUACCCAUAUGGUUAUUCAUGCUUGCAGUGUAUGUGUUUGAAUAGCUUUUUGAUUAUGCAAAUUGGUGUUAUAUCUUUUUCUUGUCCCUUUACUUCGUGAAAGUGAAUUACGAAUGCACAUGGAUGGUACCACGGGGUUUGUUGUUCAUAUACCAUGAUACAUUUGCUUAUUUCUUGGGGAGAAAAUUCAUUACAGGUGAGUAGAAUUUGGUGAAGAAGAGGACUUUUUGCAUGAGUUUGUGGUUUUGUAUCCCCUGGAGGUACUAGAGGACACGAGAGGAGAUGUUGAAUCCAAGUUAAGCAGGCGUUGCUUUUGCACUGCCACUCCCUGACCAUGGCUUUUUGUAGGCUUGUGCAACCCUGGAGAUGAGUAGAAAGGAACCAGACACAAUUUAGUAUACAAAAUUAUGCAUCUCAAUACCCUAACUUUAGCUUCUUUAGAUAUUAUUUAGCUACAUAAUACAUUGUGGAUUUGAUUCAAACCAAGUGGGGUUUUGAGCUAAUUGAUGCAUUCGCUGAAGGGAUCUAUAUGAUCACAGUUCAUUGCAAAGCUGUCUUUGGGCAGGGCAUACUCCCUUUGUUCCUCUUACCUUCUUUGAAAGUGGUCUGCAAUAUUUUUUUCUCCAAUUACCUGUUUCUGUUGGUCAAAUACAUGGACUCAAGGCACGAUUCAAACUGAAGCAAGAGAUGGUACAAUUCAGAGAAUGUGAUUGGUGAUCGCUAUCAGGUUUUGUUGGUGAAAAAUCCAUGUUUUCCUUUGAAGCCUCAAGCUUACAUGAAUCUUAGUGGUGAAUCUGUAAAUGACAGAUGCGUACUGGAUUAUUUCAACAUGAAAAAUGUCCAUCUUGUUACUGGUUGCUUGAUCCAACUAAUGUACUCUUUUUAACUCAAGUGAUCCAGAAUAAUGUAUGAUUUAUUUUUAUAAUAAAUGGAGUUAUUAUUCCAUAAACUUGUAUUUUACCAAUAACAAGGGCCACUAUCUAUUGAUGUGAUGUAGACGGUACUUUCUAUGUUUGAGCUGUCCUCCACAGUAUACCCAAUUGCUUCCAUUUUUCUCUUUACUACAUUCACGCAAGCCUAUUUAACAAGACAUAUGCAAGUAUUAAUUAUUUUUUUGGCUACUUUUUAGCAGUUUUUUUUUGUAUGUUCAGCAGUUGAAUUAUGCCCAAUGGAAUUUAUAGAAACUUUCAGCUACUAAAUUUUGUUAGUGAUCCUCUUGGGUGCAAACAAUUUAUAGGUGCCAUUGGACUGAAAGAACUUCUCCUUGAAUUACCUAAUGUGCAUUUGCGGGAAACUCCUUGCCCAGGGCCUGUGCACUCCCAGGACUAGUUUAGACUUUGUUCUCGGACACCGGUGCCAAUAAAAAUAAAUUAUUAGUGAUAUUUUCUUUAUGUUUGGAAUCACACGUGGGAUAUAGGUUUAUGUAUUGACUCUAAUGUUCCUUAUUUGUUAUAGGUAGAGAAUUUUAUUGAUAAAAACGAAAGGCAUUGCCUAAUGUUUCUUUAGUGCAGCUUAUUAGAAGCUACCUCUUAAAGGUUUUUUAAUUUGUUCAAUUGAUAAUACUGAUGUCACCGAUCUUCAUAUUUUUGUAGUUUUAUGAUUACAUGGACUUGCCUUGCGGGGUUCUUCAUCUUCAUUACAAAGGAGGUCAUGGAAGCCACAGUGGGUUUGUAGAGAAAAGAACAGUCAGGAUUGUUUGUUUUUGAUAUGUAGGAGUUGAAGAGUGCGAUCUAUCAAUUUCAAGGGAGCAGAGACUAUCCUCCUCGUCUAAGAAUCGGUAUUGUUGGGCCUCCCGAACUAAUGCAUGGUGGAUCCUAAAACGUUCUUGCUUCAGAAGUUCAAUGCAAUGGCUCAGGACGAGUGAAUU